rnacentral:rRNA from 1 species
GAUGAACGCUGGCGGCGUGCCUAAUACAUGCAAGUCGAGCGAACAGACGAGGAGCUUGCUCCUCUGACGUUAGCGGCGGACGGGUGAGUAACACGUGGAUAACCUACCUAUAAGACUGGGAUAACUUCGGGAAACCGGAGCUAAUACCGGAUAAUAUAUUGAACCGCAUGGUUCAAUAGUGAAAGACGGUUUUGCUGUCACUUAUAGAUGGAUCCGCGCCGCAUUAGCUAGUUGGUAAGGUAACGGCUUACCAAGGCAACGAUGCGUAGCCGACCUGAGAGGGUGAUCGGCCACACUGGAAGAGAGACACGGUCCAGACUCCUACGGGAGGCAGCAGUAGGGAAUCUUCCGCAAUGGGCGAAAGCUUGACGGAGCAACGCCGCGUGAGUGAUGAAGGUCUUCGGAUCGUAAAGCUCUGUUAUUAGGGAAGAACAAAUGUGUAAGUAACUAUGCACGUCUUGACGGUACCUAAUCAGAAAGCCACGGCUAACUACGUG